AUCGUGUCAAAAAUGACUGCUACACUACUGUUGGCACAAAAUCGCUUGCAAGAGUUGUUGAGGAAAAGAAAAGGAAAGAAGAUGUCGAGCUUUCAGAGAUAGACAUGUUUGAGUUAAGUCGAAAGUCAAAGAAGUAAUGGGGGCUGGUAAAUGACAAAGCAAAAGAGACCUUGGACAAAAUGAGGGAAUUGCAGGCUACAACUUCAAUGACUAGCAAGGAAAUAUGCGAGCAAGAACUUGGUUACGUACCUGGACACAUCCGCGGUCGUAGUGCAACCAAGAAGCAAGCUGCUGAGGUAGAACGCUGGAGGCAUGAGAUUGAGGACAGCCGAAAAAGAGCAGAUGAAGCAGAAAAACGAGCUGCAGAAGUAACUCAACAAUUCACUGCUCAGCAAGAGUUGAUUAAGACCUUGCAACAGCAACAAACAGA